GCCCCGGUAAACGGCGGCCGUAACUAUAACGGUCCUAAGGUAGCGAAAUUCCUUGUCGGGUAAGUUCCGACCUGCACGAAUGGCGUAAUGAUGGCCAGGCUGUCUCCACCCGAGACUCAGUGAAAUUGAACUCGCUGUGAAGAUGCAGUGUACCCGCGGCAAGACGGAAAGACCCCGUGAACCUUUACUAUAGCUUGACACUGAACAUUGAGCCUUGAUGUGUAGGAUAGGUGGGAGGCUUUGAAGUGUGGACGCCAGUCUGCAUGGAGCCGACCUUGAAAUACCACCCUUUAAUGUUUGAUGUUCUAACGUUGGCCCGUAAUCCGGGUUGCGGACAGUGUCUGGUGGGUAGUUUGACUGGGGCGGUCUCCUCCUAAAGAGUAACGGAGGAGCACGAAGGUUGGCUAAUCCUGGUCGGACAUCAGGAGGUUAGUGCAAUGGCAUAAGCCAGCUUGACUGCGAGCGUGACGGCGCGAGCAGGUGCGAAAGCAGGUCAUAGUGAUCCGGUGGUUCUGAAUGGAAGGGCCAUCGCUCAACGGAUAAAAGGUACUCCGGGGAUAACAGGCUGAUACCGCCCAAGAGUUCAUAUCGACGGCGGUGUUUGGCACCUCGAUGUCGGCUCAUCACAUCCUGGGGCUGAAGUAGGUCCCAAGGGUAUGGCUGUUCGCCAUUUAAAGUGGUACGCGAGCUGGGUUUAGAACGUCGUGAGACAGUUCGGUCCCUAUCUGCCGUGGGCGCUGGAGAACUGAGGGGGGCUGCUCCUAGUACGAGAGGACCGGAGUGGACGCAUCACUGGUGUUCGGGUUGUCAUGCCAAUGGCACUGCCCGGUAGCUAAAUGCGGAAGAGAUAAGUGCUGAAAGCAUCUAAGCACGAAACUUGCCCCGAGAUGAGUUCUCCCUGACUCCUUGAGGGUCCUGAAGGAACGUUGAAGACGA
rnacentral:rRNA from 1 species